rnacentral:tRNA from 1 species
UCCCGAGUAGCUCAAUGGUAGAGCAGGCGGCUGUUAACCGUCUGGUUGCAGGUUCGAGUCCUGCCUCGGGAGCCA